rnacentral:rRNA from 1 species
AGUGAACGCUGGCGGUAGGCCUAACACAUGCAAGUCGAACGGCAGCACAGUAAGAGCUUGCUCUUACGGGUGGCGAGUGGCGGACGGGUGAGGAAUACAUCGGAAUCUACUUUUUCGUGGGGGAUAACGUAGGGAAACUUACGCUAAUACCGCAUACGACCUACGGGUGAAAGCAGGGGAUCUUCGGACCUUGCGCGAUUGAAUGAGCCGAUGUCGGAUUAGCUAGUUGGCGGGGUAAAGACCCACCAAGGCGACGAUCCGUAGCUGGUCUGAGAGGAUGAUCAGCCACACUGGAACUGAGACACGGUCCAGACUCCUACGGGAGGCAGCAGUGGGGAAUAUUGGACAAAGGGCGCAAGCCUGAUCCAGCCAUACCGCGUGGGUGAAGAAGGCCUUCGGGUUGUAAAGCCCUUUUGUUGGGAAAGAAAAGCAGCAGGUUAAUACCCCGCUGUUCUGACGGUACCCAAAGAAUAAGCACCGGCUAACUUCGUG